GGAAGUAAAAGUCGUAACAAGGUUUCCGUAGGUGAACCUGCGGAAGGAUCAUUAAUGAAUGUAUAAAUGGCGAAGUUGAGGAAUUUGGGGGAAAAACAGCUGUCGCUGGCCUUGUAAUUGAGGCAUGUGCACGCUCCCUGAGGACCUCUUCGACGUCUAUCAUCUCAUCUCUCUCACCUGUGCACCUAAUGUAGGUCUGCAUGGUUUUGGUAAAACAGAACUGUGCUAGAGCCUCUCUCUCUGCUCUGCGGGGGGAAAGGACAAAGUACCUAUGUCUUCAAAAUACAUCUUCGUGUAGAAAGUCUUAGAAUGUUUACUAUCAUUGAGUCGCGACUUCUAGGAGACGCGGGUCUUUGAGUUAAAAGUUUAUUACAACUUUCAGCAAUGGAUCUCUUGGCUCUCGCAUCGAUGAAGAACGCAGCGAAACGCGAUAUGUAAUGUGAAUUGCAGAUCUACAGUGAAUCAUCGAAUCUUUGAACGCACCUUGCGCUCCUUGGUAUUCCGAGGAGCAUGCCUGUUUGAGUGUCAGUAAUUUCUCAACCCCUCUUGAUUAGCUUCAAGGGGGAGUUUGGAUAGUGGGGGUUUGCAGGAAACUUGGGCUUUGGCUUUCUAGUUAAAGUCUAGGAUUCGGGCUCUCCUGAAAUACAUUGGCUUUCGGUCGACUUUCGACUUUGCGUGACAAGGCUUUCGGCGUGAUAAUGAUCGCCGUGUGCUGAAGCGCAUGACUGUAAGGUUCCGUGCCUCUAAUAUGUCGACCAACUGAGUUGGUCUUCCUUAAUUGACUUUUUGACCUCAAAUCAGGUAGGACUACCCGCUGAACUUAAGCAUAUCA
rnacentral:rRNA from 1 species